rnacentral:rRNA from 1 species
AUAAGCUGUUAUCACUGCAUGAAUACAUAGUGUAGUGAGGCAAACGAGGGGAACUGAAACAUCUAAGUACCCUUAGGAAAAGAAAUCAACCGAGAUUCCCCUAGUAGCGGCGAGCGAACGGGGAUUAGCCCUUAAGUCAGAGGGGUGUUAGUGGAAUGGUCUGGAAAGUCCAGCGGCACAGGGUGAUAGCCCCGUACACGAAAACUAACCUUUGAUGAAAACGAGUAAGGCGGGACACGUGAUAUCCUGUUUGAAUAUGGGGGGACCAUCCUCCAAGGCUAAAUACUCCUGACUGACCGAUAGUGAACCAGUACCGUGAGGGAAAGGCGAAAAGAACCCCUGUGAGGGGAGUGAAAUAGAACCUGAAACCGUAUACGUACAAGCAGUGGGAGCGGUUCUUGAGACCGUGACUGCGUACCUUUUGUAUAAUGGGUCAGCGACUUACGUUUUGUAGCGAGGUUAAGCGAAUAGCGGAGCCGUAGGGAAACCGAGUGUUAACUGCGCGUUUAGUUGCAAGGCGUAGACCCGAAACCCGGUGAUCUAGCCAUGGGCAGGUUGAAGGUUGAGUAACAUCAACUGGAGGACCGAACCGACUAAUGUUGAAAAAUUAGCGGAUGACUUGUGGCUGGGGGUGAAAGGCCAAUCAAACCGGGAGAUAUCUGGUUCUCCUCGAAAGCUAUUUAGGUAGCGCCUCGGACGAACACCUUUGGGGGUAGAGCACUGUUAAGGCUAGGGGGUCAUCCCGACUUACCAACCCUUUGCAAACUCCGAAUACCAAAGAGUGCUAUCCGGGAGACAGACGGCGGGUGCUAACGUCCGUCGUCAAAAGGGAAACAACCCAGACCGUCAGCUAAGGUCCCAAAGUGUAUGUUAAAGUGGGAACGAUGUGGGAAGGCUUAGACAGCUAGGAUGUUGGCUUAGAAGCAGCCAUCAUUUAAAGAAAGCGUAAUAGCUCACUAGUCGAGUCGGCCUGCGCGGAAGAAUGUACGGGGCUAAACAUACCACCGAAAGCUACGGGUGCAAUCCAUUAGGGUUGCGCGGUAGAGGAGCGUUCUGUAAGCCGUUGAAGGUGAAGGGGUAACCCACACUGGAGGUAUCAGAAGUGCGAAUGCUGACAUGAGUAACGAUAAAGGGGGUGAAAAACCCCCUUCGCCGAAAGACCAAGGGUUCCUGUCCAACGUUAAUCGGGGCAGGGUGAGUCGACCCCUAAGGCGAGGCCGAAAGGCGUAGUCGAUGGGAAACAGAUUAAUAUUUCUGUACUUCCGCUAACUGCGAUGGAGAGACGGAGAAGGCUAGGCUAGCGCGGCGUUGGUAGUCCGCGUUUAAGGUGGUAGGUGGGUGACUUAGGCAAAUCCGGGUCACCAUACACUGAGAGCUGAUGACGAGUCCCCAAGGGGAUGAAGUAGUUGAUGCCAUGCUUCCAGGAAAAUCUUCUAAGCUUCAGGUUAGCGGGAAUCGUACCCCAAACCGACACAGGUGGUCGGGUAGAGAAUACCAAGGCGCUUGAGAGAACUCGGCUGAAGGAACUAGGCAAAAUGGUACCGUAACUUCGGGAGAAGGUACGCUGCUGUUGGUGAUGGGACUUGCUCCCUAAGCUGACGGCAGUCGCAGAUACCAGGUGGCUGCAACUGUUUAUCAAAAACACAGCACUGUGCAAAAUCGCAAGAUGACGUAUACGGUGUGACGCCUGCCCGGUGCCGGAAGGUUAAUUGAUUGGGUUAUCGCAAGAGAAGCUCAUGAUCGAAGCCCCGGUAAACGGCGGCCGUAACUAUAACGGUCCUAAGGUAGCGAAAUUCCUUGUCGGGUAAGUUCCGACCUGCACGAAUGGCGUAAUGAUGGCCACGCUUCUCCAGCCGAGACUCAGUGAAGUGAAAUG